rnacentral:tRNA from 1 species
GGAACAGUAGCAAAGUAGGUCAAUGCACCAGUUUGAAGCACUGGCGAUAUAGGUUCAAAUCCUAUCUGUUCUACAA